rnacentral:lncRNA from 1 species
GUGCAGAGAGAGCUGAACCAAUCCAUCCCUGGAACCAAUGUACAAUUGUUGCUGCUUCUGAGAAAUCUCCAUGGUUGAAAUAAAUGAAGGGUGCUUGAAUAUCUGUAGCUCUUCCAGGACUACCUCCUCCUUAGUCCACUUCUCCUUGGUGAUACUCACAGCUUUCAGUACUGUGCCUAUGUCUGUUCCUAGGAAAAUAACAUCAUAUUGCCCGUCCUCUGCCAUGACAUGAUCCACCACAAUCUGAGUCAGCCGAUAGUCCACAUUGAUUCGCGUGAACACUGGUCCUCCCGUCAGUGGGUAAACGGAUUUGUACAUCAGGGGAUGGCGCUUUAUAAAGCUAAUGACUUCAUCGGGAAAAUCUCUGGUAGAUUUUAUGAGUGGAUCAUAGGUUUUGCUUGGGCACUGAAAGAAAGAAGGAGACCAAGAAGUUGGGAAGAAUAGUAGGGAAAAAAGACAAUAAAUCUG